GUAGGGACCAAGCGUUAUCCGGAAUUAUUGGGCGUAAAGGGUGCGUAGGCGGCCAUGUAAGGUCUAAGUUAAAAGCCCACAGCUUAACUGUGGGAAGGUGCUUAGAAACUGUAUGGCUUGAAUUCAGAAGAGGCAGUGGAAUUCUAUGUGGAGCGGUGGAAUGCGUAGAUAUAUGGAGGAACACCAGUGGCGAAGGCGGCUUGCUGGGCUGAUAUUGACGCUGAUGCACGAAAGCGUGGGGGAGCAAACAGGAUUAGAUACCCUGGUAGUCCACGCCGUAAACGAUGAGUACUAAGUGUUGGAGAAAUUCAGUGCUGAACUUAACAGAUUAAGUACUCCGCCUGGGGAUUACGACCGCAAGGUUG
rnacentral:rRNA from 1 species